AUUUCCUGUUUUAACCAAGAAUGAAGGAGAGCCGUGGGCCCUUUGCUUCCUGAGUGGCUACAUUCCAGCUGUGCAGACUGGUCAUAGCACAUCUGCCAAUCACAGUGGGCCCCAGAGGAGCCUUUGGCUUGCUGAGGCUUGUUGACAUGCAUUGAGCCUCUGUUUCUCCCUUCUGCCUAAAUAAACUACAAAACUAGGAUCACAGCCACAGCAAAUGAACUUUCUGGGCAGAAUUUUAGUUCAUCAUUAGCCACAGAUCGCAACGAACGAAAUAAACCAGAGCAUCGUUCUUCCAGGUAUGAGCAGGAUGAUCUCCAGGGCAGCCUGAAGUUGAGAUCAGUACUAGCCUUGCCAGCUCUGAAAUGCCAGCACUGGACCAGCUCCGAGUUAGUGACUCCGGCUUUGGCUUGCUGCAAAGAGGCCAGUGUUACUUUUCUUGUCUCCACAGGCUGGCUACUGAGGGUCUGUUUUUUUAAAGUCUGAUUAUACUUUAUCCUUUCCUUCAUUUGUAUUU
rnacentral:lncRNA from 1 species